CGGGUGAGUAACGCGUGAGGAACCUGCCUCAAAGAGGGGGACAACAGUUGGAAACGACUGCUAAUACCGCAUAAGCCCACGGCUCGGCAUCGAGCAGAGGGAAAAGGAGCAAUCCGCUUUGAGAUGGCCUCGCGUCCGAUUAGCUAGUUGGUGAGGUAACGGCCCACCAAGGCGACGAUCGGUAGCCGGACUGGGAGGCUGAACGGCCACAUUGGGACUGAGACACGGCCCAG
rnacentral:rRNA from 1 species